rnacentral:rRNA from 1 species
AUGAUGGCCGGCGCUCAAGAGCAAAGGCUCAAGCUGCUGGGGCCGGGGACCGGGGUGAGCAUGUACACGAUUCGCGUCCAGAUGGCGCUCUGCAUCAAGGAGCUGAGCUACGACUUCCUCCCCGAGGACCCCUGGAGCAAGAGCGACCUCCUCCUUGCGUCCAACCCCGUGUACAAGAAGCUCCCCGUCCUCAUCCACACUGGCAGACCCGUCUGCGAGUCGCUCAUCAUUGUGCAGUACCUUGACGACGCCUUCGCCGGCAACAGCACUUCCAUCCUCCCCACCGACCCCUACAGCCGUGCCGUCGCCCGCUUUUGGGCUUCCUACAUCGACGACAAGUUGUUCCCUUCAUGCAUCGGCAUUCUCAAGACGGCAAAGCAGCAUGAGAGAGCCGACAAGGUGGAGGAGACCUUGGCGGCGUUCGGGCUCUUAGAGGCCGCCCUGGCGGAGUGCUCCAAAGAAGGGGAGGCUGAGGCACUGUUCUUUGGCGGUGGCUCUCUCGGGCUGCUCGACAUUGCCCUGGGGUGCUAUCUUCCCUGGAUCAAAGCGAUAGGCCACCUUGCCGCCAUGCCGCCGUUCCUCGACGCGGCUAGGACACCAAAGCUGGCCGCGUGGGCGGAGCGGUUCAGGGCCGCCGAGCCGGUUAGGGCGCUGCUGCCUGCGGAGGACAAGGUGGAGGAGUACAUCUCAACGGUUCUUUAUCCAAAGUGGAACGCCGCGCUCACUGCGUCGGCAACUAAUUAG